UACGUAGGGUGCAGGCGUUAAUCGGAAUUACUGGGCGUAAAGCGUGCGCAGGCGGUUUGCUAAGACAGGUGUGCAAUCCCCGAGCUUAACUUGGGAAUUGCGCUUGUAACUGGCAAGCUAGAGUGUGGCAGAGGGGGGUGGAAUUCCACGUGUAGCAGUGAAAUGCGUAGAUAUGGGGAGGAAGACCAAUGGCGAAGGCAGCCACCAGGGAUCGUACUGACGCUCAGGCACGAAAGCGUGGGGAGCAAACAGG
rnacentral:rRNA from 1 species